AGAGCUCGCAUUUCACCUUCCCGUAACGCUUCAACCUUCAUUAUUACGUGCUUCACUCCUGAUUUUCAGCGUAAUUAUCCCACUACUCCAACUGGGCAGCAUUCAAUCGACCUCUUCGCACCCCCAGUAACCGGAGGAAAGGUCGACUAUAAAUACCCCAUCUUUCGACGAUGAACACCAGAACUCAGACAAGAUCCAGAAAAAUAGUUUGUUUAGGCAAUCGAUUAUGCACAGCUGGAGGAAAAGAGAAGUUUGAUAGGCGAGUCUUCUUAAUGUAAUUAGAUAUAAUGAUUGUAUGUAUUCUAUUUCGUUGACUGCUCAUUCUCAUUUCCUUACAGAUUCCAGUUGGUGGGACAGAUUAGUCAGUGUCUUCAUCAAAGGUGAUUCACGCACAGGAAAUUGAGCCCCUCAACGUUUCUGAUCUUAACCAAUUUAUUAUCACUACUGCCCUCAGAUCACUGAGUUUCUCUGUAUGGUAAAGGAGCCAUAAGCACGGUUAACAGCAGCUGAAGCACUAUCACAUGCAUGAGUGAGAGAUUCUAAUAGACAUAUAUGCUCUUGUCAACAUACUUCAGUUUCUGAAGUUAGCCAGCUUAGCAGAUUGCUUCGAAGGUUCUGGAGACGACUAUUGAUGAUGAUGAGCUGGACGAUCUCAUAGAUCAGUUUGAUGUCAUUAACAUUGACAAGAAGGAGUUCAUUAGUCUUGUGGAGAUGAGGCAGGCUCUUGCGGAAGAUCUUGCUGGAAGCUCAAUGAUACAAGAUUAGCUGCGAUUCUUCAAGCAGUAAUCAACUGGAGGAGCAUGACUCUGACCAGUGGGAGCAGAGGUCAAGAGCAGCUUUCGAGAAUUUUUACAUGGCCAAAGAUGGGUUUAUAACACCUGAGGAACCAGAAUUGAACCGGAAGUUGAUGAGGAUCGGAGAAUCAGCAUCCAUGAGUUUCGCAGACUCUUGAGAUCUGCAAUCGCCAAGUCAAAACUAUCAAAACAAUCCUGGUUACCAGCUUUCUCAAAAAAUGUAAAUCACCAAAAGUAAAUAGAUAUGAAGAUUAGAUUUUAUACUCAUAAACAAAAAAAAAACAUUUUUUACAAUUGCCAUAUGAUUCAAGAAGAUCUUAUACAGGCUACAUGUG